rnacentral:misc_RNA from 1 species
AAAAUCCUUCAAAAUUUGUGUUUCAUGAGAAACAUGUGUUGGAAACCUAUAUGUUUUUGGUUCUUCACUUACUGAUUAGCGGAUCCCAUGUGGAUCAAUGUGCACAUUAGCUGGCAUCAGUGCCCUAAUGCCCAUAUGUGUGUGUUUAUGUUUCUUUGUUGUGGAAUUACCCUUUUGCCCAAGAAGCUUCAAUGCUUCACCCACUAGACGCAUUCAAUUGGAGCUCAUAAUGG